rnacentral:lncRNA from 1 species
CAUCCUUAUAGACAUGUAGCUGCCGUGAAUGCUUGACUCUCCCUCCCUGCAUCCCCUCAUGUGACUGCCAAACUAUUUUUUCCAUUAAGACUUAUCAUACACAUCACUGCCUCUAUAGCGAGACCUCCCUUUUGGCCCCCACAGCACUGCUGCAGAGACUGCUGGAAGCCACCAAAGAUUGCUGCUCCACUUCCUCGUGAAGAUUACACUGAUUUUCUUAGAAGUAGCUGCCAAUUUUCCAGCUGCCUUGCAUCAAGGUAGAGCCGUGUAACCGAGGAAUGUGGACAUUAAAUGACAUGUAUCAUUUCCAGGGAGAAAUCUGUGAAUCCACCAUGAAUUCCUCCCUCUACCUACCAGCUGGGUGACCCCAGGGUGACCUUAAAAGAAUGGAAUGGUGGAGACACAAGGUAGAAGCAGCCCCAGUCUCUGAGUCAUUGCUUAGAGGAAAGACAGCCAGGAGAGCUAUCCAUUUAUGGUCACCAGCACUGGAUUUUACAUAAGCAAGAAAUACAUUUCUUUGUCUUAAGCCAGCAGGAUUUGGAGUUCUUUUUUGGAGGGGGUGGGGGCACAUCUGUGGUAUGCUGAAGUUUCUGGUCCUGGGACAGAACUCGCAUCUAACCUGAGCUAUGGCAGUGAUGAUGCUGGAUCCUUAACCUGCUAAGCCACCAGGGAACUCCCAAGUUGGAGUUCUUUAUGAUAGUAAUUCCCUAUAUCUUGAUCUUUGCCCUCUACUCUAAAUAAAGUAAUACCUUCUUUACAGAAUGAUGCUUAUGUCUUUACAUGUCUGCCUCCCUUCCAAAAUUGCUUGUGAAUUACUUGUACACUGAGUCCUGAGCCCAGCCUAAGGAAGGCUCUUACGUAAGUCUAGUGAAUUGAAUUCAAUAGGGAUACUAAAGGAUGCUGAUAGAGCCAGAGCUGUAAUAGGAUUCUACAAGACUCUGUCUCCUAACCUACAUCUAUGGUACCUGAGAGUUCUUCACUUAAACUGACACAGCUGUCCUAACCCCACAGUCAGGACACCCUGAGCUGCAAAACUCUCCCCUCUACCAAAAGGACCAAGUUGAUUUUUUUUUUUUAUCACCUCUACUCUAUGCAUUGUACUUGCAGCUAUCUAAAUCUGCCUUGACACCAUGCUUUUAUGUGCUGGAUCAAUAAAUCUAUCUACUGUAGAUUUACUCAUUCUUUAGUGAAUUUCUAGCAAAAUAAGUUCCGUACCUGUGAACAUAGCAUGAAUAUGGCAUUUUAUUAAUGUUGCAGAAUUUAUUUGUUCUCUUGGUGUGUCCAUUUUCCCCCUUAGAUUCUAUGCCCAGUAAAGGCAAAAACUUCUUGUAUCUUUGUAUCCUUAGCAGCCAUUCGAUAUUUUGCCCAGGGCAGAUUCCAUAAAUGUGUUUUUAAGUUGAAAAGUGUGGAGGAAAUUAAGAAGUAGAAUUAAAUACAAAAUUUUAUGAUUGCUCUCUAAUAAAAAAAUCUCUUCUAUAGGGAAUAUUUAUAACCCCCUCUAAUCAGAUCAAAGGGCCAUGAAAUCAUAAUUGCUUAUUUAUUUAUAUAAACAGUUAUACUCUCCCAGAAAAAAGCUAGAGAUCUUUUUUUAAAAUUUUUAAGGAUUUUUAUUUUCUCUAUUAUAGUUGGUUUACAGUGUUCUGUAUUUUAAAAAAAAAAGGAAAAAAAUAGAGAUCAUUUUUGAUCAGUGAGAGAUCUUGAAUUUCUGAGGCCAUAAAAUGUGUGUGUUUACGUGUGUGUGCAUAUACUUCAUUUUGUAUCUAAGAGACGAAGCUGUUUGUAGCUUUCUUCAUCUUUAAAGGGAGCUGAGCUACUGACCAUGGCCUUCCCAAAGUUUGAGUGUCAACUGACUUAGCAGCCUUUUUCACAGCAAUGCUCAUCUCUGAAAAUUACCCAAUGAAUGAGAAACAGAGAAUUACAGAAAAGUGGGGAAAAAAAAAUCUAAGCACACUAAAAGAUCUAUUCCCAUUAUGUGCUGCAAAUUUGUAAAUGUGAGUUUAGGGAACUACUAAUAAAGUAGGUGUGAAUAAAAUUGCUUAUCUUGUUUGUCAACCUAUGUGGAAACCAUAUGACAAUUUUAGAACUUAUAGGUUGUUUUCAAAGCUGCACGUCUUGAAUAAUAUUUACUCUUACUGGGAAUACUUAGCUUAGGAAUCUUUACUGAAUUGCUCCAAAAUUCUUUGCAUUCUAAAAAGGCUGGGAGAUCUCAGGAACUAUAUUUUCCCCUGUAGGUACAAGCUAAUCCCAACUCAAUUUAAUAGUGUUGGCUUUUCAUUAUUAAGAAUUAAAUUCCUAAUGAUGUGAAUCUGACAUCUUCAUCAUCUAUAUUGCUGCAUUCUUCCCUAUCUUUCAAACCUCUUAGUCAUUGCUCAGCUUUAUAAUCAAAUUAAGAACACAUGUGUCAGACUUUGCUCAGAAACUGGAACUGUUCUUAACUUUAUCUGCAUGAAAACCCUGGAUUUCUUAAAGCCACUUCUUCAAACUACACUUGGCCCUCUUUAUUCCUUGAUCUCCAAGUUUCAAAAAGAGAACCUGUGCAUUCAGAGCCCACAUUUAGAAUGAUUAAAAGAAAAAAAUGAGGACCACGUGUAGUUGCCAAGUUGUCCUGACUUUGGUUCAGCAGGAUCAAGCACCCUCUCUCACAAAAUAAGCUUAUGAAGAGUCCAGCCCAUAUUUCUAGGGAGGAUCUGGCUUGAGUUUAGGCUGUUAGACAACUGGGAGAUUUCCAGCUGGUUGUAAAGAAAACUUUGUUGAAAGAUAUGUUUGUGUCGUUUAUUGUGCCCCAAAGGCAGAGGUAUGAGGAGAUUUCCUUUUUAGGAAUAAAUUAAAAUCUCAAGAUUCAAGAGACAGAGAAAGAAGCAUAUUGCCUUAGCAGAUAUUUAAGACAAGAUGUUGGGAACAAAGGCUAUUGUUUAAUGACGAGGGAGGGAUGGAUAAAUUAGGAAGUUGGGAUUGACAUAUAUACACUACCAGAUAUAAAAUUGAUAACUAACAAGGACCUAUUGUGUAGCACAGUGAAAUCUACUUGAUAUUCUAUAAUAACCUAGGUGGGAAAAGAAUCUGGGAAAAAAUGGAUAUAUGUCUAUGCAUAUCUGAAUCACUCUGCUAUAUACCUGAAACUAAUACAACCCUGUAAGUCAACUAUACUCCAAUAAAAACUUUUUAAAGAUACAGUUUAAGCAUGAUGUAGAAUCCCACACACAACCAAAACAGCAGCCAAAUCCAGACCAAGAGCCUUGGGACCUGGUCCUGGCUCUGGGCCUCAGGUUUUGAUGGACAAGUGGGAGGGGCUGCCAGGCGGUGCCUCAGUUCCUGCCCCCAAAGUUGGCCUCCUUGGAUCACCUAGUGCAUUGGCUCUCAUGUGGGCCACCCCUCACCCAGUUGGCAGUGGGCUGCAGGCACGUAAACAAUGUGUAGUCGUCGGAUCAACCACAAAGCUAAUGGAUCAUUAUCUUUAGGAAUCGAGCCUCAGAAUCUUGACUUUUAAAAACACCCCGGGUGCUUCCUAAUCAUAGUAAAGAAUGAGACCACCACUCAUUCGGAAUUACAACUGAGGGAGCAAAGCUGAAGAUUCAUGGACUGUGCAUUGGGUCACCCUUAUCAAUAUUCUCAUCAUAACUUGCUCCCCAAGUCUGAUCAGUGGGUAUCCUUUUCAUUAGGAUAGAGUCUCUAUCUUGUUUCUUAGCUCAAAUAAUUGGAAUUUUUGUCUUAUUCCUCCAUGACUUCUUGCAUAUGACCUACCUAAAACUCUGGUCCCCUGAAGAAGAUCAGCUCUGUGGCCCCCUUGUUGGAAGUGUGUCCCUGAACUGUUCCGUGACUGAAGCCUGCCUCUGGAUGACUGGCCUGCCUGCCCUGACUGAAACCGAGAAUCCCUGCCCCUGCGCUGUCCUUGGCUACCUGCUUCUCCCCGAUGGAGACUACAGCCUGUUGCCCAUCAAUCAGAGGCUUCAAAUACCAUAUUCAGGACCACUUUUUCUUUUAACCUUGCUUUGUGCCCCCUGGAAUUCUAUAAUUCUAGUGCAUGGGUUGGGCUUUUUCUCCUCCCUCACACUAUGGCAAUUACUUGUGCUCUGCCUCCAAAUAUGUAAGACAUUUUCUAAGGGAACUUUCAGUUAAAAAGUUCUGCAAUGCUCUGACUUUAGGAUCUUGGAAAUACAUGCAGGUACGAAUGACUGCAUUUCCCAAGUUUUCCCACCUUCCUCCAGGAUGGGAGAGACAUGGCUACUGGAAAUGUAAAGAUGAACAAAGAGACAGAUGAACCAUACAAGCUAGGACCUCGGAGGGUCAGGCUGAAGAGUUAAAAUAGGGUGACUUACUGUUUUCUAGGAUUGAAGGGUUCCUGGGAUGGGAUUUUCAGAACUCAAGCUGUAAAAGUCUCUAACAUACUAGAUGAACUGGACAUCCUAGAACUUGAAAUUGUUUGGAGUUGUGCUAAAUCAAAGAUUUGGGAUAUGAAAGACUGGGACCAAGAAGGAAAGGAAAUUCACGCCUCCCCUGUGUCAGGCACUGUACAUUUAUUAUCUUUUUCACUCCUCACAAUUGCCUUAUAGAGCAUUUAUUGCAGGGUUCAUUUUAGAGAUGAGGAAGCAGAAACACAGAGAGGUAGGUAACUAGGCAAGACCACAAAACAUGCCAGGUGUAAAGCCAAGAUACAAACCCAGGCAAUGUGGCUUUAUUCAUUUAAUUACCUCAAUUCUCUACUAUAAUGCACACAGACUGCAAUAAUGUCAAUGUUAUAGGAAAGCACAGCAACUAUUUAGUUAGCCCAACCUACUCAUUUUAUUAAUGGUAAACCAAAGACCUAAAGAAUAUAAGAGGUUUGAGAAGAUAAUGCGUAUAUCAGAAAGAAUGCAGCGUUAGAGACCAUACAAUCUGGGUUUGCUCCCUACCUCUGCCACUGAUUAACUGUGUCAUUUGUGCAAAUUACUCAGUCUCUCUAAAGCUCAAUUCCGUCAUCUGUGAAAUGAGGAUAAUAAUAUCUACUUCUUAGGAGGUUUCAGGAUGAAAGAAGGCAAUGGAUAGUAGAGUUCCUUACAUAUACUAAGGGAUUCAUAAUUGGAAUUUCCACUAGGUUUGUUGGUAGUAAUAGUAGUACUAGCGUAGGAACACAACUGCCUAGUAGUUACUACUGAUAUCUCAAUUACUACCACUACUUCUACAUAGUUUCAAAUAGUUGCCUGACAGUCCAUAUGUGAAUGCACCGUAAGUUAUUAGUUGUUCUUGCUACUAUGACUACUGCUUCUAUUACAUCAUCACCAUCACCAUCACGGUGAUGUUAGAUACAGAAGCACAUUUAAAAUAUGACUGCCUAAAUUAUCAUGAGGACAUAAGUUCUUCCUUAUUAUAGAAACUACACGAAAACCCAACCUAAAAGAGCCUAUAAUAAAGACCCUUGGCAUCCUAAAGAUUAUUCAUAAAGUGGCCACAAAGUUGCAGAUAAGAGAUACAAAAAUUUAAAUGGCAUAAAGCACAAAGAAGCAAACCCAGUGGGAGAGAGGAGGCUCUGGAAUCUUUGGCACUAAUGAUGUUUCUUUAGAAUAUUUUCCAAGGAAAAUAUAGAUCAAGUAUAUAUACUGGGUUGGGGGGGUUAUUUCUUUUGGCUUCAAUAUGUGUACUGCAAACGCAUCAGAGACAGUCCUGGAUUUUGUAGAAUAGAUUGGAGACUGUAAUAACACAGGGUCCACAAGCUAAUGCAACAGAGGUCUAAUUUUAUGGAGCUAUAUUUCUGUCAAAGUCAACAAAAUAACAGACCUAAAGGGAUUUCAGCCCUGGGAGGGGAUUUCAGCUUUGAAAGAAGCCAUCUUUCUCUGGUCUGCAUUUGACAUAGUGAAAUGUUAUUAACACAUGUUCAAAUGUAUAAGCAUUUCUAAAUAGGGAUAGAUGGUAGAAUAGUUUAUAACACUCUAUGUCACAUACAAACCAUCUCACAAGAUCAUUUUUACUACACAAGCAACAUAUAUUAUUAGAGGGAAAAAUUUACAAAAUUAAUUAAUUAAAAUAAAAUUAAAACCAUCCAUAAUCCCAUAAUCUGUGAUAAUGGUUGGGAAUACUUUGUUGUUUAUAUUUUCUGUUUCUGAGCAAAUAAAAACUCAUAUGGAAGUAAAUAUACACAAUUUUAAAUGUAUCAUAUUAUAUCCAUUUUUCCUUUAGCAAUACAGAAUAAAUAUAUUACCAUAUAUAAUACACAGAAUAACUAUAUUUCACACCAUAGUUUUCAAUAGCUGCCUGACAGUCCAUAUGUGAAUGCACCAUAAGUUAUUUGUCAAGCCACUGUUCAUGAAUAGUUGUUUACAACUUUCUUCCAAUUAAAACACUUCUAUAAACAUCCUUGUUUACAUACCUUGGCACACUUGUCUGAGUAUUUCCUUAAGCAUAAAAAAUUCCUAGAAAUGGAACUUCCGAAUCAGAUAGUGCACAUUUUUAAGGGUUUUUAACACAUACUUUGUAUUAAGUACUAUGCAUGUAUUUGUAAUAUGUAAAUAUUGCCAUAUUUCUCUACAGAACCACUGCACUGAUUUACACUUCCAGCAGUGGAUGUAAGUAAGCCUGCCCACUGUCCUGCACAGCUGAGUAAGCCACAGCUUGCCUGUGGUCAAGGCUGCUAACAGAAAGUCUAUGGAAACACUCUUAAUGUUGCUACCUUUGUGACACAAGGAAAUGCAGCUCCUAGGAGGACUGCCUGACCCACCCACUGGCUAACAGCUGUUGGCAACACCCAUGUCUAGUGUGAAGUCAUAGGCUGUCAAAGGAAAACACCAUCCAAACAUAACAAGGCAGUUGAAAGGUGCUAGACAUUGCCAAGAGAAAAGUUUUGAAUUUUUAAACGCCUAUCUGGGAGUUCCCAUUGUGGCAAAGUGGUGACAAAUCCAACUAGUAUCCAUGAGGAUGAGGGUUCAAUCCCUGGCCUCACUCAGUGUGUUAAGGAUCUGGCAUUGCUGUGAGCUGUGGUAUAGGUUGCAGAAGUGGCUGAGAUCCCACAUUGCUGUGGCUGUGGUGUAGGCUGGCAGCUACAUCUCUGAUUCGACCCCUAGCCUGGGAACUUCCAUAUGCCAUGGGUAUGGCUCUGAAAAAAAAAAAAAAAAAAAA